rnacentral:rRNA from 1 species
UACGAAGGCCUCAAGCGUUAUCCGGAUUUAUUGGGCGUAAAGGGUCUCCAGGUGGUUCUGUUAGUCGGGCGUUAAAUCUCACUGCUUAACGGUGGGGCUGCGUUCGAAACGGCAGAACUAGAGGAAUGGAGAGGGAGUAGGAACUCACAGUGUAGGGGUGAAAUCCGUUGAUAUUGUGGGGAACACCAAAGGCGAAGGCAAACUCCUGGCCAUUUCCUGACACUCAUGAGACAAAAGCGUGGGGAGCAAAUGGGAUUAGAAACCCGUGUAGU